rnacentral:rRNA from 1 species
GACGAACGCUGGCGGCGUGCCUAAUACAUGCAAGUCGAACGCAGUGGGGACGGGUGAGUAAACCGUGGGUAACCUCCCGUCAGAGGGGAUAACACUUGGAAACAGGUGCUAAACCGACACUGAUGUAUGACCCCGCGGUGCAUUAGCUCGUUGAUGGGGGAACGGCUCACCAAGGCCACGAUGAAUAACCGACCUGAGAGGGUGAUCGGCCAGACUGGGACUGAGACACUGCCCAGACUCCUACGGGAGGCAGCAGGAGGGAAUCUUCGGCAAUGGACGAAAGUCUGACCGAGCAACGCCGCGUGAGUGAAGAAGGUUUUCGGAUCGUAAAACUCUGUUGUUAGAGAAGCGGUAUCUAACCAGAAAGCCACGGCUAACUACGUGCCAGCAGCCGCGGUAAUAC